AGGGACUGCCGUUGAGGGCAGUUGGGUGGCCAUGGCAACAAUUCCGAGUGCCACGUGCUGGCCCAAACAUGGCGGCUGGCAGUUGGGGCCUGCAGCCAUUUCUGGGAGGCAGUGGCAAGAAAGUAGCAAUGGGUCAGUGGGGGCUGGGGGUUCUCAAGCACCCUGCAGCUGCCAGGGUGGAGCCGUCCUGGUGCCGACAGCAGCAGAGGAGGAGCAAAGCAUGCUGACACCCCACAGGCAGCCAAGGGAGAGGCAGUCAUUAAAACCAGUGGAGUUUCAGGGGUAGUAUCGACUGUCCUUUCCCAUCCCUCAGCUCUGGGCCUGGAGCGUGAGAAGGUGGCAUCUCUUCUGCCCUGAUGCCAAAGGAGAGGGAUGUGGAGGAGAGGGCCUGGCAUCCUCUGGGUGGCUGCACUGGGAUUGCUGGGGAGUGCAUUGGAGGGCCUGUGAGGUCCUUGGGGCCUGGUGCUGGGGUUUUGCACCUGGAGGAUGGGAAGGCUGACUGGGGGCUGCUGUCCUCAUCCUGUUCUCUCCUUGGCCAUGGAGCAAGUGGUUGGAGGUGAUGCAAGCUUUGUAUGUAGUAGAAUUAAUGCGUCUUAGCAAGAAAUCUGAGUAUUUUUGUUUAAUGAAAGCAUAAAAAGAGGGCAACAAAAACAUAGAACUGGUGGGACAACUGUCCUUGUUUCUGUGACAUUUAUACGUCAGUCUGGUCCAGUGGCAGUGGCUGCACUUCGCUUUGAGUUCCUGAGAUGUUUAUCAGAGAUUUUUUAUCCAUUUUUUCUCUUUCUGAUUUUCAUGCUUGAAAACAGUUGCUCACAAAUGUGGGUAGAGCCAAAAAGCAAUGAGAGGAGUAUGACAUGAUUGUGAAUGGAGAGGUGUUUCUUCCUGGUCAGAUGGGGCUCACAGAGGUCUGGUACAAAAGAGCUCUGGUCAGAUUGUUGAGUUGCAUGUCUGGUUGCAGCUCUGUACGUGCCAUUGGAAAUGCGCAGAGAAUUUAUGUCAUUUGAAAAUGGAGUUCCAUGUGUAGCAAAAAAAUGUAUGUUUUUUCUGACAGUUUUUAAACAUAUUCUCAAAUUCCUUCAUGAAAACACAGAGCACAGCUGUGUAUUUUUUGCUGCUCACAGGACUGUGUUUAACCAAUGUAUCAAACUGCACACAGUUAUUUGCCAUGGUAAGUAUAAGAAAGUUUUGUCUUCUGUUGUCUGAAUGACGUUCCUAAAGUGUUGAGGAACUCCUGCUGUUCAGUAUUAGGGAGUUGGUAGGUAGUGUUUCUUACAGAGGGGUUCGUGUGUGUGUUUGUGAGUUGUUUGGUUUGGUUUCGUUUUUAAUCAAGCCUGAAAAUCCACUGCAGGGAAUUCCAGGCAUGUGUAAUCUGGCAUCCAGAAGUGCUGGUUGCCUUUGGAGUCUGUUUCCAUUUCUUCUAAAGAACAUGGUACAGAGAGGGAAAAAAAUGAUUUGGUGUUUCAAUGGAUAGCCUGUGUUUGAGGCAGACUGUGGGUAACGUCUUAUGGCUAAUCAGUGUAUUAGCGUAUUAAAUGUACCUUAAAGAUACGUUUUGAAAUAAGCCUUAGAAUUUCCUGCAGCCCAAGGAGGGAUUCAUAGUUGGGUAAGGAUUUUCUGUAACAGAUGUUGCAGAAUUCUUUCACGUGACUUCUUGGAUAUUUGCCUAUCUGGGUAACAUUUGUCUUUGGUAUCUAAUGAAGAUGAGGAGCUAUUGUUUCCUGACUGUUACACGCCAUUUUUAAUCAAGUCUAACUAUUCUAAGUACCACUCAGAAAUUAAGCUACAGAUGGAUCCUUUUGGGUGUUCUCUUCAGAAGUGAAGGUUCUGCUAUAGCAUUCACCCAAAUCAGAAAUUCUAGUCUGUCUAUUGUAUUCAUAGAAGCGCCUUAGUUGUAAAGAUUGAUCUUCAGGGUUUGUGCAUUCUUUUCUCUCCCAGCUCCUCCACGGAAAUCUGCUCCUGUAGGGAUGACAGGGAAGAGCAGUGCUUAUGUUGAAGUAGCCCUUUUGGUUUUUAAAAACCGACCGUGUCUUUAGAUUCUUACAACAGGUAGUAGAACUCUUACAGGUAUUAACUCCAGUUUAAACCUCAAACAAGUUGUGCAGCUAUAUGGAGUACAGGCAACAAGGUUUUUGUCUUUUCUAAUUUAAUAGGAGAGGAUCACAUGUAUUUAAAUGAUAACAGAGAAAUUCUCUUCAAUGGAGAAACACUUCCAAGCACUCAAAAUUGCAGAUGGUGGGAGUGUGAGGAAAGUGAGGAGAAACCAUGAAGACACAGAGCAAAGCUUCUAACAGCAUUCAGGAAAAAGCUUCCUGUCUUCAAAUUGGGCAUUUUGCUUUCCUGGAGUGUCAGAAUGGAGUGAUGUUCCUUGGCCACCCAAACUCCUAACUCUUAACAUUAGUAGAUGAAUGUUUGCCAAAAUGUCCCUGUAGCAUUAAAGAUGGCUUUGUGUGUAGAACUUGUACAAGUUCCAUAAGUAUCAGACUUCUGCGAUAUUGAACAUCUUUUUGGUCUGACAUUUAUUUUACAGGCCCUUCCCCUUCCCCUCCCCUCCCCUCCCCUCCCCUUCCCUCCCCUCUUCUCCUCUCCCCUCUCUUAAGAACCUUUGAGGAGAGCACAUAAAAUGUGUGUUAUUUUGGGAUUGGGUUCUGCUCUUGCAGAAGAAAAGUAGCGCCUAUUAAAAGUGUUGAGCUGUAUGCCAGGCACUUCACAUUUUUCGGAUCUGAUUUAUUUUUUCUUCUAGGAAAUCCCAUUUGAGGAGAAUGUAGGCUAACACAGCUACAGGUUUUGUCACCUACAAGAAGGUGCAGCACUGAGAAUAAAUUAAUUAGGCAUCAUUUCGUAGUCUUCAGCUCUGAAUCUGUCAGGUAGAGAGCAGGUUGGAAGCCUGUUAGCAACCCCUCCUGUUCGGUGCUGUGGUGUGCAUGCUUGUGUUCAGAUGAACAUUAUUUUCUAAUUCCUGAACUGCUUGCAUUUAAAGUGAACAUAAUAAAAAUGAAUCUCUCUACAUCUUAUCUGCCGUGUGUCCGUAUUAGAGCUUUUAGGAAUGAAAUUUUGUUUUUGAAGCUGUCUUUUCUAUUUGCAACAUGCAGAUUUAGUUUAACACCAAAAUUGGAUCUGCUAAAAAGUAAUGCCAGCAUUUGCUAUUAAAGCAGUUUCUCUGAUGAUUGAUAUGAAUUUGUAGCUGUCAACCUUUAAUAGUAAAUCACAAUUUGAGCUCGCUCUUUGUGAAUGCUUUUAAUGGCAAUACGUUAUCUAUGUCACUUGUAUGUGUGAUAGGAGAGUGCCGUGUGAUGGAUGUUAAAGGUGAUGAAUGUGGUCCUUAAGUCUGCCUAUCUCACCUUUUGUUGUGAUGUGUUCUGAGUCGUUUCUUUGAAAUUUAAGCAAUUAAACUCUAAAAGCAUUUCUCCCUGUAUGAAUGCACCAGGCGCUGGAGCUACCACAGAUGGUUUCUUCUGCAGUGGGUCCCAGUUGUUUGACUGACUUACCUACAGGCAUGGAGGUUACGACCCUUUAUCCUCACAUUUCGGAACUUAAGUACCUCCUCUUGUUGCAGUUUAUGGAUAGUGAAUUCCAACUAAAUAGAAUACAGUUUCGUAUUAAGCAUGGUUAUUUCAAAAUAGAUCAUCAAUGGAUAGUCAGGGUCAAGCAAAGGAAUCCCAGGAAGAAAGAGCAAAAGGACUUGGGGAGGCCAGGAAGUGAAAGGAGGAAAGCUAUUACUCUGCAGAUGUCUUUGAUUCAUCAAGAGUUACAAGAGUUGUAAUAUCAGGUUGUUGAUGUAUCUCAAAUGUGUACCGUCGUGAUCACUCGCGCUUCAUCCUUUCCCAAACAGAAUCUCUCUUUGGAGCAAUGAUGCAGUAGGCACUGGAAUUAGCUUCACCCUGCCCACCCCCUCCAAUAUUUAUUUAGUAGGUCUUGUUUUGUAUGUGAUGUUUCCCCCCCCCCAAAAGGCUUGUGCCUUAAAUGAAUAUUUAAUUAGAUAUUAUACAUCAUUUAGGCUGUUGAGGCUUUUCUUGGAUGUAUUCUUGUACAGCUGUUCCUGUGUGUGAGUUGCUUCACUUCUAUAAGGACACAAUUUGUGGAAAAAUUAUGUUCUACCAACUUAUUUUCUUCUUUAAAAAAAGCUAAAUAAUAAUAAGC
rnacentral:lncRNA from 1 species